rnacentral:rRNA from 1 species
AGUGAACGCUGGCGGUAGGCCUAACACAUGCAAGUCGAACGGCAGCACGGUAAGAGCUUGCUCUUACGGGUGGCGAGUGGCGGACGGGUGCGGAAUACAUCGGAAUCUACUUUUUCGUGGGGGAUAACGUAGGGAAACUUACGCUAAUACCGCAUACGACCUACGGGUGAAAGCAGGGGAUCUUCGGACCUUGCGCGAUUGAAUGAGCCGAGGUCGGAUUAGCUAGUUGGCGGGGUAAAGGCCCACCAAGGCGACGAUCCGUAGCUGGUCUGAGAGGAUGAUCAGCCACACUGGAACUGAGACACGGUCCAGACACCUACGGGAGGCAGCAGUGGGGAAUAUUGGACAAUGGGCGCAAGCCUGAUCCAGCCAUACCGCGUGGGUGAAGAAGGCCUUCGGGUUGUAAAGCCCUUUUGUUGGGAAAGAAAAGCAGCAGGUUAAUACCCCGCUGUUCUGACGGUACCCAAAGAAUAAGCACCGGCUAACUUCGUG